rnacentral:rRNA from 1 species
GCGCCUAAUACAUGCAAGUCGAGCGAGACUACGAACGGAUUUAUCGUUUGUAUGACAGCGGCGGACGAGCGAGUAACACGUGAGAAUUUGCCCCGUACCCAGGGAUAACAGCUCGAAAGAGUUGCUAAUACCGGAUGCCCUCGCAAGAGGAAAGAUUUAUCGGUACGGGAGAAGCUCGCGGUCUAUCAGCUAGUUGGUGGGGUAAUGGCCCACCAAGGCAAUGACGGAUAGCUGGUGUGAGAGCAUGACCAGCCGCGAUGGAACUGAGACACGGUCCAUACUCCUACGGGAGGCAGCAGUAGGGAAUCUUCCGCAAUGGGCGAAAGCCUGACGGAGCGACACCGCGUGGAGGAUGACAGCCUAUGGGUUGUAAACUCCUUUUAUGGGGGAAGAAAAUUUGACGGUACCCCAUGAAUAAGCCUCGGCUAAUUCUGUGCCAGCAGCCGCGGUAAGACAGAAGAGGCAAGCGUUACCCGGAAUUACUGGGCGUAAAGCGUCCGCAGGUGGUAUGGUAAGUCUGUCAUUAAAUGCCUGUGCUCAACAUAGGCGCUGUGAUGGAAACUAUCAUACUAGAGGAAAGGAGAGGUAUGCGGAAUAGUGCAAGUAGGGGUAAAAUCCGUAGAUAUGCACUGGAACACCAAAAGCGAAGGCAGCAUACUGGCCUUUUCCUGACACUCAGGGACGAAAGCGUGGGGAGCAAAAACGGAUUAGAUACCCGUGUAGUCCACGCCGUAAACGAUGCAUGCUCGGUGUGGGGACCCUCGACCUGGUCCCCGUGCCCAAGGUAACCCGUUAAGCAUGCCGNCUGUGUAGUACGGCCGCAAGGCUAAAACACAAAGGAAUAGACGGGGGCCCACACAAGCGGUGGAUCGUGGGGUUUAAUUCGAUAAUAAGCGAGUAACCUUACCUAGACUUGACAUCC